rnacentral:rRNA from 1 species
AGGGCACCACCAGGAGUGGAGCCUGCGGCUUAAUUUGACUCAACACGGGGAAACUUACCCGGCCUGGACACUGGAAGGAUUGACAGAUUGAGAGCUCUUUCUUGAUUCAGUGGGUGGUGGUGCAUGGCCGUUCUUAGUUGGUGGAGUGAUUUGUCUGGUUAAUUCCGAUAACGAACGAGACUCUAGCCUAUUAAAUAGGCUCUCGGCUUUUAAACGCCGGGAGGACUUCUUAGAGGGACAGGUGGCGGUUCAGCCGCACGAAAGAGAGCAAUAACAGGUCUGUGAUGCCCUUUGUUGUCCGGGGCCGCACGCGCGCUACACUGAAGAGAUCAGCGUGCUUUACGUUCCUGCUCCGACCGGAGUGGGGAACCCAGUGAACCUUCUUCGUGAUUGGGAUAGAAGAUUGUAAUUAUUCUUCUUGAACGAGGAAUUCCCAGUAAAUGCGAGUCAUAAGCUCGCGUUGAUUACGUCCCUGCCCUUUGUACACACCGCCCGUCGCUACUACCGAUUGAACGAUUU